AUGUGUUGGUGAUUUGGCUGAUCUAGUUGGCCAGCUAGGUGAGUGUCCCUUUCUUUCUUCACUGUUUGUUGUGUGUCUUCUGAAGGGGCUGCUCAGUCNAAGAUGAUGAUGUUUCCCAGCAGAAGACCAUUCUUUAGUCAAGAGUGUAGGAGCCCUGCCCUGUUAGAACUUCCAAACAAGAUUUCAAUAAAUAAAAUAUAAAUUUGAAGCCAGAAAUAGUGGCCCACACCUAUAAUCCCGACACUUGGGAAGCAGAAGU
rnacentral:snRNA from 1 species